AGAGUUUGAUCAUGGCUCAGGAUGAACGCUAGCUACAGGCUUAACACAUGCAAGUCGAGGGGAAACGACAUCGAAAGCUUGCUUUUGAUGGGCGUCGACCGGCGCACGGGUGAGUAACGCGUAUCCAACCUGCCCAUCACUUGGGGAUAACCUUGCGAAAGUAAGACUAAUACCCAAUGACGUCUCUAGAAGACAUCUGAAAGAGAUUAAAGAUUUAUCGGUGAUGGAUGGGGAUGCGUCUGAUUAGCUUGUUGGCGGGGUAAUGGCCACCAAGGCGACGAUCAGUAGGGGUUCUGAGAGGAAGGUCCCCCANAUUGGAACUGAGACACGGUCCAAACUCCUACGGAGGCA
rnacentral:rRNA from 1 species